rnacentral:rRNA from 1 species
ACUUGACCUCAAAUCAGGUAGGACUACCCGCUGAACUUAAGCAU